rnacentral:tRNA from 1 species
GGGGUUGUAGCUCAGUGGCAGAGCACUUGCCUAGCAAGUGUGAGGCACUGGGUUCAGUCCUCAACACCA